AUGGAAUGCAACACAAUAGCCCCCCUCCUGCAACUUGAGGCGUUCUCUUGCCAAAUAUUCGAAGUUCUCUCCCCCUCACGUUCUCCGAGCGUGUCACGUCGUUCGCGAUAGAGACGACCAGGAGACACAAACCACUGACAGCCUGUCAGCCGGCGCUCGGAGGAGCACAGCUCGGAACCUUCUAGAUAGCGGCAGAGCCCGCCGCCUCCCCCUCUUCCGGUGACGCACGCACGCCACGACGGUGGAGGUCAACCGUGACGGAGGAGACAUAUUAAUGAUCAGCAAAUAUCGAUGGCGUGAAAGAUGGAAUAACAGCUGCAAUCAACACGGUGGAGCGCGGCACCCUGCGGGGCGUUUGGGAAGAAUUGCCAUCUCGGCUUGACGAUGUCCGCUUGAAGUGACACGAAGUAACAACUUGAACGAAGCACGGAAGUCGACCAUCGACCCACGCCCCGAUCUCGCCAUCACACGCAAAGUCGUCGGCGGGCCGCUGAAAGGCCGCGCAUUCUUUGUCCACCACUUGAGGCAUCUCGUGUUCAAAAUAAUGAAAACAGCUUUUGAGAUUUGUGUUUUAUUCAAGACACUUUUACAUCCUUCAGUGUCGACAUUUCAACAUUGGCAGUACAAAAAUACUGAAAGGCACUUUAAACAGAAAUGUACUGAAGCUUUUUUGUGUUUUUUUUGUAGCCCUCAAUAUUCACAAUGACGGUCGCCUCCUCAAGCAGCAUGUCGAACAUUUACACAGGUGCAGACACAAAGUCCUAGUGGGCGUUUCCACAACAGACACACAUACACAUAUGAUACAAUGUGUAGUAAUACACUGUAUAUACUAGGGCCCGACCGGUUAAUAUGAGCCCUUUUCAUAUCAGCAAAAAAAAAAACCAACAAAAAGAAAUUGGCCGAUUGAAAAAAAAACACAUUUACAAAAUAAGAGAAAGAGAAAUACAUUCAAAUGAACAAAAAUCAGCAAUUCUCUGUUGCAAAAGUAAAGACAAAGUAUUGUUCUGCCUGUAAUUCAUGUCUUUAAUGUUGAAAGCACUAAGUGUGUAUAUUUUUAAU